UCCAACCCCUGCCUCCGCGCCGCUCCGCCUCCAUGGAUGACCGCCGGCCAGCAGGAGCGCGCCGCCCGUUCUGCUCGAGACAGCCAUAGACGCGACGAUUUCAGGCCGCCACCAUCGUCAUCAGUAGGUGAGCCGCUUCAGAUCUUGUGCAUCCACCAUCUUCCUGGCCCAUCUCCCCUCCCCUCCCCUCACGCAUCCACCUCCCUUUCUCUUCCUCCUCACGUGCUCCUCGGGAGCGGCGGCUGGAGCCUCCGCGGCCGCCUCCCUGGCUGAACAUCCUUCUCCCCCUCCCAGGUAGCGUCUCCAACCUCCAGCCUCCACGACCUAGGGUCGACCCUCUCUCCAGAUUUCCAUCUCCCUUCCUCUCCCCUAGCCUCAACCUCCACACUGCUGCUAUCUUUGUCCCCUUGAGCUCUGCCUCCUCUAGCUUGGUGCCAUGGCUGACCCAUGGAGGAGCACGUGGGGAAGUGGAGGACUGAUGCGGGGAUCAGACAAGAGCCCCGUUGGACAUCUAAACUGCAGCUCCAUCCACCAAUAUCCAGGUUCCCCACCCUCUCUCUCCCUCUCUCUGGAUCCCCUUCUUUGUGCUGCAGAUCUUCAAGGUAAGGAGGCUUCCCUUCACGGUUUAGUUUUUUCUCUCUGUAGAUAUGAUGCUUCUCAUAAACCAAUUUGUCUUGUUGUAGUGGAUGGACAAUAGGUAUGGCUUCACCCCCUUUGACCUCAGUUUGUUUCUUUUCCCAUGAGGGAUGUCAGAUAUAAAAUUCUUUAUGGUGCUAAUUUCUUGCGUCAUUGUAUUUCCUGUGUAGAUUAUUCAUUUGCUUACUUUGUGUAUUUGUAUGUAUCGUUUCUCUAGCUGAAUUGGAUUUGGGACUCGAAGACCGAGGAGGACGAGAAAGAAGGUGCCACCGUGGAUGCCGAAAAGAAAAUUAUGUCGCCGUUGAUGAUAAGCAGGAGGCCAAAAGAAAGAUAAACAUGUAUACCCACCGAAUAUACUGCCAAGGUUUCCAUUGGAAUGAAUAUUGCUGCUUCAGAAUUCUAUGGCGAGAUGGAUCAAACCUAUGAUCUUAACUUCAAGGAAGAGAAUAAUAAUGGCUCUAGAAGAUAUCUGGAGAUAGCCCGAAGAAUGUGUACAAGUCAUUUGUUGAUGAAUACCCAAUUUUCCUGAUUGAGGACCUAUUUGAUUAGGAUGACUGGGUUCACUAUGCUAAGAUGACUGAGGAAAUUGGAGAGCAGGUGCAGAUUGUUCGAGAUGCCGUUGCGCAGAUUGCGCUCCGGCGAGCACUAGCCGCAACUUGUGGGAGGAGGCGGCGCGGGGGAGACCGGCGGCGAGAUGGGAUUAGGCCCUUUUGGCCGUCCCACCCUGGGAGGCGUGGAUGAACACACAAGGAAGCGGGUGCCUGAUGUGGAGGAUCGGACAGAAGCUGCCGUCGCCGCCACCCAUCCUACCGUGUCGCUGCCAACGUCGCCGCCUCUGCUCGUUCCUAUUGGGCUGGCGAACCACAUGAUCAUCGAUUACCACAACGAUGAGUUUUCUGGGCUCUCUCCGUGGUUAAAUCGCAUUGCAUGUUUUGGUAGAGGAGGCUGGGAUCGAUUACAAAGUGAGGGUUGCAAAGGCGAUUGCGGAGAAGUCCUGCAAUGCUCUUCUCCUCAAGCUAGGAUUUCUGCGAGUCGUGCUAGAGAAAGGAAGUUGUGCCACAAAAAAAACAGUAUGUCUUCAUAUGGUUCCUGAUGCCGUCUAGGAUUUGCUGGCAACAAUAAACCGUGCCUUGGGCCCAACUAAGUUGGUUUAGAGGGUAUAUAGUGUGUAACAAUUUGUGCUGAGGUGAGUAGAUGCUUGACCACAAAUUAUGAACUUAACCUUUUUUAGAGUUGAGAAGUUGUUACAGAGCAUUGUCACUACAGACCAUAUUGAUUAAUUUUGUAUGAGCAUAUUUAAGUCACCAAGAGCAAGCUGCUUCAGGGAUGUAUUAAUAAAGUACUGUCACUAUAUAGUCAGGUUAUUUUAUAUUCGUUGGAUGAGAUUUGUUUCUAAUCUAUACUCAACAGUCAGGACUGCAAAAGUUUAUGCUACCUUUCUAAUCAAAACUCAAGAGUCAAACAACAUAAAUGUUAUAUAUAUUGUGUGUGUCCGAUCAAAUGGUAGCAUUGUGUUUCCGUUUUUUCCUUUGCAUCCCGUUAUUUUGAAAAGAUUAUUGUAGUGUUGUUUCUUCUUUUUUGUUUGAGGAUGUAGCCCCUAGCUAACUAAAACCAUCAGUGACCGUCUGGUUUACAGAGUGCUAAAAAUGAGAAUUCUUCCUCAUGCUUGUAAUAAUUUGAUUGAACUUUUUAUACAUCUCUAACUAACAAUACGGUAAAUAGCUAUAUUUUUUAUUCCUCAAGGCAUAUAUGGCCAAUAGCUAUAUUUAUUCAAUAUCAGUUUAGAAAUUCUUCUGUCUUCUCUCUGGCUUCUUCAAGACAGUCUGGGUGUUUCUGUUCCCAAUCCUCUGUAUUGCCGUGGCCAUCAUAUUUGUUGAGGCUGUGCACACCCGCAAUCUUGGACUGAUGAUCCAUCGCCUUACUGAUUAUGAUUCAGGCAAGCACCUUCCCCUUCACCGUCGUGCUGCUGCUAGCCAUCUCAGUCUGUACUGCAUUCAUGUAUCACAUGCUAAGGCGCACUGACCAUACCUGCAAAUAUGGUAUUUUCCUUAUUAUCCCAUGUGAAAGUUCUUGGUUAUUAGGACCAGUGUUGAUGCCAAGUGGUUAAAUAAUGGUACCUAAAGAAGUAGUUUGAUUUGGUGCAAGCAGAAUUAUCUUCAUAUGAUUUUAAUGUUGUGAAACAUGAAUCCACAUAUACUGCUCAUGCCUGAGUUGUCAGUAGACGUAGCAGCGCAGGCAUUGCAGGCGCACAACAUUGUAUUGCAUAACAUCGUGGAAUAACAACUUUCCUUGCCUCUUUAUUUAUUACCUUGCUUUCUUAUUUCGAAUCGAAAUUUAUACUAUUUCUGUGUACUUAUGCAGGUACUCUGGCAUGGUAAACCGGUCCUUCUUGUGGAAGAUUGUGAAACCCAUGAAACUAGGCCUGGGUAUCCGAGGAUGGGCCGGGUUCUACCAGCGUACCUACGCAAAGUGGAUUGUCUCUCAACAUAGGCUGCACAACUAGCUGCCAGGAGAUAACGAGCUGCCUCACGGUAUAAGCAGGCAGCCGGCAUCUUUGACGACAACUGCGGAUCUGCAUGACUCUGACGGCCAUCUACAUGAGUUAUUACUCUGCGGAACGGUGUUAACUCUUGGUGAUGCAAGCAGUAAAGACCAUGCGUAAAGACCAUGCUGCGAGAAUGCAUUUCCUAUGUAGGCGAUGAUUUUAGCGUUCCUUCCUUACUUUUGUUGCUCUCGGAAGAGUCAAGAACUUUUACAUGCUAAUAUAUAUUUUUCCCAUGUUCCGUGGUUGUAUAUAAAUGUUUGUUGUUCUGUUUGUAAUUUAGUAUGAUUUGCUACAUUGUAAACUCUAAAAAUAUUUAUUAUUAUUUUCACAAUUGAAACGAGUCUCA